GAGGGAGGGCUGGCAGUUUGUAUGGGCAAGGCUGGGAGUAACACUACUGCUGCAGGUGCUGGGAAUCUAGAACUGGCAAGUCUAGCUACAGUAAGUAGGCCAGGUUGGAAUACUCAACUUUAUUCCCAUCAUUGCAGUUCCAUCAAGUCAGGAGACAACAGACAGCUCCCGGGCUGCCUCUUCAACGCAGUUCCGGUGGGUUCGAGAUGUGAAGUCGCAGCCUGUCUCCAAUCUUAAUAUGUGCAGAGUGGCGACUGUAAACAACUGCACUUACUGGAGCACAAGCCCAACCUGAAACAACAGCAGACAGGCGUUUACAAUGCAAUACAACAUCAUAAAUACGCUCUUACAUUUUCUUUGUCGAUAAAAGAUAUGUAGACUGCUACACUACGAUGCUACAGCAAGUGACAAAACCAUAUAAGGGUGGACCAACUCCAUAUUAAUACCCAUAAUUUUGGAUGAGAUGUUGGAUGUCAGGUGUCCAAAAACUUUUGGCCAUGUAGUGUAUGUCUGUCAUGGAUGGACGGACAGACGGACGGUCAUUACAUAACCUAGGUGGAGGUAAAGACCCUGCCCUACCUUACUUUUCAAUGAUUCAAACUAUUUAAAAAUGAUUCAGCAAUUUAUUUUAUUUACUUAUAGCUUUGUGAAAACAUAAUUAGAAACAAGAAUCGUAAGAGAUGGGAAAGUAAGACUUUUACACUUUCAAGGCUUUUAACUUUAACUCGAUGCCUGGCCUGGGCUUCUAGAAUGAAAUGCUAUUCUGUCUGUAACUGUCGACACCCUUUUGACAAAGACAACCGCAUAUCCUGCUGAGCCCCCUCACCUUUUCAGGGUCCAUUGGUGGACACUUCCAGUUGUACAGGUAAUACUGCAGGUUCCCAUCUCCUAUACCAAAUUUCAGCUUUUCCAGGAAUGUCUUGUUCUCCAUUAGAUCCAGUGCAUUGAA